GUUACUUUCUGUUGACCCAGAGCGCAUCCUCUCGCUCGCGUCUUCGCCUUCCGUCCUCCUGCGUCCACCGCCCCCGUGCUCCUGCUUACCGUCGGACCUGGCCGACCUCCCUUCGCUGCUCUGCGUCCCUCGGCUUCAUGAUGCCAUCUCUAUACCACUAGGGAAGAGGUGAGUCGCCCCUACCCCGACCAACUCUACUCUGGCUACCCAACCCUUGCUCGCGGCCGCCGGCCAAAGGUCGACGAGAAAGGAGGUACGCGGUGGCGCCUGAUCUCCAGGCGUAUGCCUGAUCUACAUGAAUCUUAUCCCCCUCACUUCUGCUGCUAGAGAUGCAGCUGGAGGCUUGUGGCUGCCUCCUGGAUCUGCUACGUUAUUGGGGAUUUUUCUUGUCCGGCAGAUGGGAUGAGCUUAGGACUGGAUCUGUUUUUUUAGUUGGGACUUGAUGUUAUUUUGUGUUCUCGGGUGAAGAAUGGAGCGUUGGGUCAAAGAUUUAUUUGUUUAUAUCAAUUGUUUGCUCACAAUCUACAUCCAAUGUUCUUCUUCUUCUUGGAUCCAAAAUUCCCCAGGCUGCCUCUACCAAAACUGUUCUUCUUUAUACUGUCAGUGCCUCACUGCUCGGAUCAGAAUCUACCAUUCCCAUGAAUUGAACCGUGAUACAGUACCGAAGAUUAGUGAGCCUCUCCGAACAUUGCAGGCUCUGGCACAAAACGGCACAAUGGUCACCAUGCUCGACAAGAGCUUCAGCAGUUCGGCUAUGUCAAGUUCCUGCAGCUGCAAGUCAAGUCGCGUAUUUCUCUCAACGUGGUGCUUCUUACGGAUGAGUUGUGGUCAGAGCAAGACAAGACAGCUCGUGAGAUCGCCCAGGUGAAGGAGGGCGCUAAACUGAAAUAGCUAGCUAGAAGGGAAAGAUCUUCUUUUUUAUAGUAGAAGAGAAAGUAAGUUACAGUACUUAGCUAGCCUCUGCAUCAAACACAACGUACACCUCAUAUGGGAAUUGGUAAUCACCUCGCUGGAAGAAACUCAUGUUGAUCGUCACCAACUCACCAUUAUAUACCUUUUUAGGGACUUAGCUAGCGUAACAUAUACCUGAUGUACAAGAGAAGAGAUGAGCGGUUUAACAUUUUGUUAAAUCCAAAAGCUGUGACAUCUUCUCCUCUGUACUAGAACUCAUGCUACUAAAAUGUACGAUAUUAGCUAAUUUUGAUUGCUACCUGGCAUACAGAAUCAGGGAUUUUCAUAGCAAACAACGAGAUAUAGAAUAAACACGGUGUAUGUUGUAAAAAACAGUAGGGGUCAGCUACUGGCUGAUUACAAAUGAAUAUAGUUCAAAGUAAUUGCGCAAAUCUAAAA